UUCCGGUUAGUCCAACGCUCUAACCACUAGGCUACCCUGCCGCCCCCAUAGACUAGAUGGGAAAGGGUUUAUAAGGACGACUGACUCAACCGACUAUCUUUCAUUUGUAUUAUUAUUAUUAUUAUUAUUAUUGCAGAAAACGUCAGUAUAAAUCAGACAAGGACAACAUAUGCUAGGGGGGUACAACAAAUGACAGAUUAUACAAAGACCUUAAAAGACAUACACGUAUUGAUUGUUUCAACAGUUUUUUAUUUAUUGGUAGAAUGUAGAAUGGUCUUAAUAAUGUACUGCUCGAACUCCUUAUAGAAAACAAGGAAGCGUUUUUUAAAUAUAUUAGUUUAUUAUUUUGUAUACAUUUUGUAUUCGUUAAAAAUAUAUAUAUAUUAUCAUUUAAAAAAAAACAUUUAUUGAUUACAUUUUUCCCCAUUAACACAAUUUAGUAUUAAGGGUUCAAAUUGAUUUGAAUGUAUCCUUUAUUGUACGGUAUCUAUUUUUCCUCCACAGACGACUCUCAAUUGCGCGACGUCAUCCAUCCGGGUACCAGGCGCGCGUCCGUGAAGCCUCUCCUUCACCCAACAGAGACUCCGGGCCCCGGAACUGACUGCGGAACUGCUUCGUACACAAAUUAAAUUGGAAAAAAAAAAAAAGAAAAAAAAAAUGCCAGAUGUCACGGUGUUUUUGUCAUGUUUGUUGUUUUUUAUUUCAAUUUGCGUCCAGGGAUCGGGGCAGAAGUGUCCUUGUGGAUGUCGACAUCAACUCAGUGAGUUACAUGCGCCGUGCUGUCCUUUGUGUGUGUGUGGUGUGUGUGUGUGUGUGGGUGUGUGUUUGUGUGUGUGUGUGUGUGUGUGUGUGUUGUAGCAUGACAGUAUUUCAAUAGCAGCUGCAGUAGUAGCCUAGCCUAGCCAGCAGGCUUUUUGAGUAAACAUCAAGCCCAGGGAGAGUAAAUGAAAUCCUGGGUUGACAGAUGUAAUAUGAAGCUUUUCGACGAUUCAGACACCAGUUCACAAAAUGCCGUCUUCAGGAGAAGACAUUGUACGCCCAACACAACCAUCUUCAUGACAUUCCAUGGCGAUUUGGCUUUAUGUGAUUCCACCCUGGCCUUCAACAUCAGUUGGUACCUCCGUUCCUCAAUCUGCACAAUGAAGUCUUUACUACCCAGUGAGUACAAUCCCUUCUUCUUCUCUCACAGGCCAGACUCGUCGUAAACCUGCACACGACCAACAAUAGCACACAGAGAAACAGACAUAUCCACUGUGCCAUCACAUUAAUGUUGUAAUGCGGAAGGAACCACAAAAAUAAUGUGUUGCCUGUAAUGUAUUAGACACCUUUUUCUAAAUUAGAAGAGAUAUCCUGUUUUGUCCUUUUCACUUUUUUAGUUGUUCUAUUUCUACUUCCUGU
rnacentral:lncRNA from 1 species